AUUUGUAUAGUUUAUUUUAAAACAUUAUAUUUUCAUUAUAAAAAUAUUAAUUUUAUUUACAAAUA
rnacentral:tRNA from 1 species